rfam:Oryza meridionalis cultivar OR44 (W2112) chromosome 8, whole genome shotgun sequence.
AAUAAGCGCAACCAUGAGUUUCCGUGUCCAAUUUUGACCGUCCGUCUUAUUUGAAAUUAUUUUUUGAUUAGUAUUUUUAUUGUUAUUAGAUUAUAAAACAUGAAUAGUACUUUAUGCGUGACUUAUGUUUGCUAGUUUUUUUUUUUAAAAAAUGAAAUAAAACAAACGAUUAAAGUUGGACACGAAAACUCAUGAUUGCGCUUAUU